CUUAUCAAGAGUGGCGGAGGGAACGGCCCAAUGAAGCCCGGCAACCUGUGGGAGACCACAAGGUGCUAAAUCCGGCGGCAGUGGAUCGAAAGAUGAGG
rnacentral:ncRNA from 1 species